GUGACAACUGACAGACAUAAACGACAGACUAUUUUAGGAAGAACAUGGCGGAUGUUUUCGCUAAAGUUUCAUGCACAUAUUGUCAAGAUGAGAUUAAUGGAGUCAGGGUUCAAUGCUGUGAAUGCUCUGAUUUCGAUAUAUGUUUGCAGUGUUUUGCCAGUGGUGCAGAAAUUGGCUCUCACAAAAAUGAUCACUCUUAUAGAUUUGUUGAUCAUUGUGCCUUAGCUCUUGGUGGUAGAGGUAAUUGGACAGGUCGAGAGGAGCUACUCUUGUUAGAUGCUGUAGAGCUAUAUGGAUUUGGAAAUUGGGAUCUUGUCAGCCAACAUGUUAAAACAAGGACACCAGAAGAGGUGAAAGAAGAAUAUAUUAGUAGAUAUCUUGAUGGUAACAUAGGCAAAUUGACAUGGGGUGAUGUUGAAAAACGAAGGCCAGUAUUAGUAGAUCAAGUACCUGAAGAUAAAGGCCCCUUAGCUCCAGCAGUCACUUCUAAACUACCUCCUUUAGAUAUAACACCAGAAGAAGCGAUAUUGUUAGGCUAUAAACCUCAUAGAGAUGAUUAUGAAAGGGAAUAUGAUAUGCCUGCAGAACAGAUUGUUUCUUCUCUGCAAUUAGAUACCACAAAAGAUUCAAAAGUCGAGAUAUUGAUGAAAUUAGCUAUGGUCGAUAUGUACAUAAGAAAAUUAAGGGAACGUACUAGAAGAAAACGGGUAGUUAGAGAUUAUCAGCUUGUCUCUAAAUUCUUCUCAAAAGAUAAGAAAGAUCCCAACAAGAAACCUCUUACCAAAGAACAAAAAGAACUUAGGGAUCAGAUGCGUGUCUUCAGUCAGUUUCAAACUUCAGCUGAACAUGAGAGAUUGAUAGCCAACAUUGAAAGGGAACGUGAACUCAGGCAUAGAUUAAACGAACUACUUAAGUACCGUAAUUUAGGAAUAACUUCUCAAGAAGAAGCUAUCCACUAUGAACAGCAUGCUGCUUUUCAAAAACAACAGAUCAAAUCAAAAACAGUAAAAAAAACGGAAAAGGACGAAAUUCGCAAGAAAAAAACUCCAUGUAGCCAUCACCAAAAGAGCUAGAGAAGCACAAAUACGACAAAUGGAACAGAUGGAACAACUACAACUUUAAACAGCUCCCAAAAACUGUACCGAAAAUAACUCAAAAUAAAGUACAGGAAGAUGAAGCUACAACCACAAAGUUCAACUUGAGUAGAAAUCAAACUUUAAAUUCAAUGUUAUCAACUGAUUAUUUUGUAUAAUGAAUUUUUAUGUGAAAUGUUGCCAUAUAUUGAAUUUCUUAUUUGUAAAUAAAUAUUUACAUUUUGUAAUGCCUAGUCAGGAAUAGAUUCUUGCUUUCUUCAAUUUCAAAACUGAAUCUGAAUAUAUCCAUCUUAAUUUCAAUACUCUUUCUGUAUUUUCAUUGACAUGAAAUUUUAAUGUAAGUUAUUGUUUUUGCUAUGUGAGUAUAUAAGACUGUAUAUAUAGUUAUUUGUAUAAAAGAAUAUAUUUAAUGAAUCAAUUAUA